rnacentral:lncRNA from 1 species
CCACUUGCAUGUGCGAGUCUAGGGGUUUGUGUAGCACUUGGGUCAACGUUGUUGGUCCAAAUUUAUGCUGACUCUUGGCUUUGGCAAGGUACUGAUGUUGGUUAACCUUUGAGUCUGAGCUUCACUCAGAUCUGCCCCUCUCUUGUUUUCCUGUCGGCUGGCCUGCAAUCCUAGCUUUCCAGGGGUUUGAGGUUGGUGGAUUGUGGAUGCUUCAGGGUUCAGAGCUGUGGCAUACCCUGCUUGGGGCUAGGCCGCCACAGGGUGACAGGUGACAGGCUGUCUCAGGCCCUGGCCAUCAUGGCAGGCUCUGCCAGCCAUGGCCUGUGCUUGCUGCCUAUUCUCUGGCUCCGCUGGGUCACUGCUCUGCAGAUCUGGGACAAGGACAUGGCUUCACUGGCAGACUAGGUGGGUGUGACGUCCUGGAGACCUCUUUGCUGAGAUGGGGGCAUCUGUGAGCUGGGUGGUGGCCUCUAUGCCAACCAUCCCUUGGCAGAUGCCGGGUUCCACCAUCGUGGCCACCUGCCUCUCAAUGAGUUUCAUGGGGAAUUGGAUCCAGUGAACUUUAGCUUUCGGGAACUAGAGUCAGCUGGGAUCCUGAGUGUCCUGCCUUUUGGGGAGACUUUUCAAGACCGUGAAGUCCUUGCCCUCUCUGGGCCCUGGAUUACUUCACCUCCCAAGAGGCUGGGACAAAGGACCUGUGGGUAGCAUCAACUCCCGG